rnacentral:lncRNA from 1 species
ACCUCUGGGGCAUAGGAUAUUGGAUCUGACCAGGGAAAGUGGCUUCCUGUUUAAUUACAUAUCUUUUUGUGCUCCGGCUUUUUUUUUUUUUUUUUUUAACCAUGUAUAUAUGACUUUCAAUGAAAAAAUUUAUUUAAAAAUCUACUGAAGCAUAAUGAAACGAAAGCUGUGAAAUACGCCAGACUGAGAGUCGAUUCAGGAGACAGUGUCUACGACAAGCCCUGAGCUUCCUGUUUGCAGAGAGCAAGGCCAUCUAUGGGGCUCCCGUGGCCAAGUCCACGGGCACAUGGGCAGCAAGCCUGGGCAGUCUGGGCUGAUGAUGGGGAGGUUGACACUAACUCCUCAGGAAAAUCCCUGCCUCUUCUACUAUUGAGACUGACGUAUGUUUCUGAUUCUACUAACCAACUGGACACGUGCUUUUGAUGAUACAACAUGAAGCAGAAAUGGGAAGAUGAUCUGAAAUUACUUCUUGAAUCAGAUGACUGGGAUGAAUUCGGAAAAGAGCCAAGGAACAUGGAUUUUGCUUUUCCUAAGAGUGAUCUCACUUAUGGUGGUUUAGGGGGUGAUCUGUACCCCUGCACAUGUGGAUAGAGUCUAAAGAGGAGCAGAGGACAGUUGUUCCAGCUAAUACCACCCCAAGUCUUUCUCCAUUAGUGAGUGGCCUGUGGUGACCCUGCAGGAGGGGACAUGUCAUGGCUGGACUCAAAGGUUUGUUCUGCUGACCAGGCAUGGAAGACUCUGGCCUUGCCCUGGUUUUAAAAUCGAGCUACAAGGGUUUGCAAAGGGAGAAUGACACCCCAGCUUUUUAUCAGUCUACAGGGGGUUCUGUCCCCUCAAAGUCUUGGAUGGGGUAUACUUUAGUGUGAGCCUCUAAAAUGUUCCUUACAGGGGAUCACACUGGAUCAGUGUAUAUUCCAUUUGUCUUGUGUGUGUGUGUAAGAGGAAGCCCAGCAUAGUGUACAUUCAGAUGCUUCUUAAUAGAAAGGCCCAAGGAAGGUAGAGCUUCAGUAUUUUCCUGACAAUGUAUUGGAGAUGAUUGUAGGGUCCAGGAAGGACUUUACAGAGACUCAUAGAUUUUUCAGGUAGCCAUUCCUUAAAUUCACAAAGCAUGAAAAUUGCCUAGAUCUGAGAACCUAAGAAUAGAUAUAUUAGGAAACAGAAACCACUCUAGGUAUGUUAAACAGAAAAGGCUUUAAUACAGGGAAUUCUUUCUGUACAAAAUCAAUGGAAGACCUAAAGAAACAGGCUUUAUACUGGGCCUCUGGAAUCCCUCCUGUAAGAAUAUAGAACUGGACCUUGGGAGAGCUGUAACCUCUGAGGCUACUCCUAGGGCUGACCUGAAAGCAAGAAGCUGCUGCUGCAUCUUCUUCUGAUGGAAAAGGAGCACUCAAUGCCAUCUGGGGAUUAGGAAGCCAGACCA